AAAAAAUAUUCAAAAUUGCCUGGCCAAGGGCUGCCUUGAAAGAUCAAAUGUCCACACCCAGGGUCGCCGAGAGGGGGCCAGGGGGAGGGGGGGGGGGGAAUUGCCCCAGGCCCCCACCAUAAUAGGGCCCCAACUUGAGAGGAAGAGCCUAAAAUUGAGUAGUUUCUUUAAAUUGGUCAGAGCAUUCUUGAAAUUGAGAGCCCCUUACAGUACCUCCACAUGCAGUCUAGCUAAGGUCUAGUUGGGUCUAGCUUAAAAAUAAUGUCAUGGGGCCCCCAGGGAAGAUUUGUCUGAGGCCCUACAUAUUCUCUCGGUGGCCCUGUCCAGUGCCGCCCAGAGGGGGGGCAAAGGGGGCAAUUUGCCCCGGGCCCCGAGUUGCUGGGGGCCCCUGAAAAAUUUUUGUAGGGGCCCCGCCUUUUUUGUUUGUUAAAUAUUUCCGCGCAAAGGACAAGAUAUCUGUUUUCUUGGGCUAAGUACCGAAUUUUGGCCUAAAAAAAUGAGAUAAAGACCCUCGAAAGCGUUUGCAACGUAUUCGUCCGGCAAAAUUUUGCGUCCGAAAAAUUUUUUUACCCCUAAAAUGGUACACUGACCGAAAAUUUUUUGGCGACGGG